rnacentral:lncRNA from 1 species
GGCGCCGUGGGGACAGCCAGCACCUCCCUGCUCAGCUCAGUCCCAAAUGUGACUGUUGAUAGGAGCCAGGCACUGGGGACACAACCACAGGGAGGGCCCCUUCCUGGAGGGCUCAGCGCUGGGGGAGGGGGAGAGGGCUAUGUCCCUCCAUGGAAUUGACCUGGGGCAGGGUUAGCCACGUGCCUGGAGGGGGCCAGCUUUGCAGCAUUUCCCGUUGCUGUACAAUUCCUGAGUGUCUGCAUGGCCACUGGAUUUGUAUGUGUGCAUUUUCUGAUUUUCUAAUUCAAGUGAUGGUUUAGGGAAGAAAACCAUGUCCGUGGUCUGUCCUGUCCAAGUGGUGAAGAGCAUUUGAAUCCACACAGCCUAAGACUCCACCUUCCUGAGAUUCACAGUCUUCACAUGUACUUUCUGUGGUGGCUCAGAUAAGCACACCCUUUUGACCAAUGGACCCUUUUUGACUGGGAACACGGUUCUUGACCAAGGAGCCCAGAUCCUGCCUGUCCUCGAAGCUGCAAUAGCGAACCGCACACUGCCCUCUCGUGGCGGUCCGGAGGGUUUCAUUCUGAAACUGGAGGAUUUUCUUUUCAAAUCUAGACGUUAAUGUUCUCCUUCCUGUGCAAAGAUGCUACCCGGGCACAGCUUCAGCGUGUGGUGCACACGAGGCCACCUCUUUCCCGAAAGAGAGCUGGUGGUAUCUGCUUUGUGCACCUGGAACAGAGCCCAGCCCUUGCGGACAGUUGAUCCACAGCAGCUGCUGUCAUUGUCUUCCCCAUUCCUGGGGAAGAGACAGGGAAGGCAAGGACCCCAGGAGCUCUCCGGGGCUGAGCUGGGGCCGUGGGCUCCUAGGACUGGGCAGGAUGGGAAGGAGGAGCUAGA